rnacentral:rRNA from 1 species
UCCUACGGGAGGCAGCAGUGAGGAAUAUUGGUCAAUGGUCGGGAGACUGAACCAGCCAAGCCGCGUGAGGGAUGAAGGUACAGAGUAUCGUAAACCUCUUUUGUCAGGGAACAAAGGCGGGGACGUGUCCCCGGAUGAGUGUACCUGAAGAAAAAGCAUCGGCUAACUCCGUGCCAGCAGCCGCGGUAAUACGGAGAAUGCGAGCGUUAUCCGGAUUUAUUGGGUUUAAAGGGUGCGCAGGCGGUCUGUUAAGUCAGCGGUCAAAGCCCGGGGCUCAACCCCGGCCCGCCGUUGAAACUGGCAGU